UACGUAGGGUGCGAGCGUUGUCCGGAAUUAUUGGGCGUAAAGAGCUCGUAGGCGGUCUGUCGCGUCGGUCGUGAAGACUUGGGGCUUAACCCUGAGCUUGCGGUCGAUACGGGCAUGACUGGAGUUCGGCAGGGGAGACUGGAAUUCCUGGUGUAGCGGUGAAAUGCGCAGAUAUCAGGAGGAACACCGGUGGCGAAGGCGGGUCUCUGGGCCGAUACUGACGCUGAGGAGCGAAAGCGUGGGGAGCGAACAGG
rnacentral:rRNA from 1 species